rnacentral:lncRNA from 1 species
UGGGUGCCAUUGUCCUCUGCAUGGCUGCAGCAUUCUGAUGUCAUGGAGGCAGAAUGAGGAACAGUGGGGGGUCACCCCCUGUGUGGGUAAACCUGCGAGUAGGGAGCAGUGCGAGCAGGAUGUGCAAACAGCACAGGGCAGCAGUUUGGACUGGCAAUUCAUGCAGUGCAGUUGAGCAGGGAAAGCAAGGAAGAAUCCAUCUGCUUGGCCUGAUGCCCAGCUGUUUGCUGCCCAUCACCAUCACCAGGGAUGCAGAUGUGCCUACAUCUCCACUCUUCAGGCUUACUCCCACGAUUCUUAAAAAAACAC